CUUCCUUAUUUCCGGGUCUCUUGCCUGAGCAUUGUCGAUCCAGGUGAUUCUGAUAUCAUCAAGCAAAUGCCUAGUGACCACUGAGCUGACUGUUAGAUGGGUGCUGAGGUUUUAGAUUUCUCACAAACUAUAGGACAAUUUUGUUUUUUGGUACUACCA